UCUGGAGCCAGCUAGCCCUUUUGGGCUGCUCAUCCCUCCGCCGCCGCCGACAGCCUCUGCCGCUUGCAAGGGCAGGCACAGGAGCAGCGGUUGGCAGAGCACAGCGCAGCGUCUCUCCCAACUGCGGCUCCUGUGCCUGCCCUUGCGAGCGGCGGCGGCAGCGGCAGCGGGACGAGCAGCCUGAAAGCAGCCCUCGCAAGGGCACAGGAGCCGCAGUUGGGAGAACGCAGUACGGACAGCAGCAUAGGUAGGCGGGGGAGGGGCUGGGGGGAGAGGGGGAGAGAGAGAAGCCCCCUCCUCCGUGCGCGCCUGCGUGUGUGCGCUGUCUGGCACGCCACAAGGUCUGGGGGACAAUGAACCGACCCCCUCCAAAAAAAGUUUGCUGACCCCUGGACCAGAAUUUUACCCUCUGGGCUAGUUGCUAGAAUUGGCUAUGGUGCCAGAAAAAUGGCAGCUGAGCUGUUCUUUUGUCUGGUAUAGUGCAUUUUUGAGCUUUCUUUCUCAUGUAAUACUAAAAUAUGAUAUGGAAGAUGGUAGCCACAUAUUUAGUGCAAUGCACAAACAUGUAAAGGCUGUGCAUUUUUAUGAAUAUCAGUGUAUGCACACUGUGCUAUCUCAUAGAAGACCACAGAGGUAUGUGGCAUCAUUUUCAAGGGGCAUUCAGUGCAACAACCUGCAUGUUUUUGUCAUCUUCCCAGCAGAUCUCCUAACAAGGCCAAUUAAUACUUGGGCCUCUCACUGCCUGCUGCCUGUAAUGAGCACUGAGGUUUUGCAGGAAGCAGGCCCUGAGCACUCUGAGGAUUUGUGGGAGCCAGACCCUGGCUGUGCCAACCUUAUAUGAAUCAGGCGCAGGCCAGCAAGCACGGUCAGGUGACAAGAUGCACUGCAGCUGGGAGCAAGCCCAGGAGAGCUAAAUCAGGCCUGCGUUUCACUUUUGGUCUUUGCCACAGCAACUUGGUCUUUUGUUGAGCUCCCGUGACCCUGCAUCGUGACCUUGCCUGGCUGGACUUCUUACCCACCUUGACUCUGGUACGCUUCUGGACUUCCUCUUGCCUCUGACCCUUAUUUGACUUGCUGCUGCUUCCUGACCAUGGGCCCACCAAUUGGACUGCCUCUUGCCCCUGCUCCCUCCGUUGGACUUCACUUUGACUACUCGGACUGCCUCUGCUACCAGCACCAGCACCCGUACCCGUCUCAGCGUUCCUGCCCAGGACUCUUGCCGCUCACGCCCCGGAAUGUCACUCUCUGAGCUGGUGUGGAGCCACUGUCACCUUUGGUAGGGUGACUUAUGGUGAAGCACUGAAGUACAGAUUUGAUGGUAUAUCCAGAUAGUCUUCGGAUAAAUGAAGCACUUAUUUCCUAAAGGAAGGGCAUUCAGGGAAACGUUGUUACUCAGUUCUUAUUUGAAAAAUUGUCUUCCAAUGGAGGAAAAAGAACUCUGCAUAUAUUCAACGAAACUCAGCUUUAAAUGCCAGAGUUAUUCAUACUGCAGCAGCUCUUCCAGAUAUUUUAUAUCCGAGGCACACUUUUUCAGCAUCUAAAAUUCUUAAAUUCAUUCUGCAAUAAUAGGUAGGUAUUUUAUGUUAAAGGUAAGGUAGGCAGGUAAAUCUGCAGGCAGGUAUACUCCAUACUGAUGGAGCAGCAGUUAAAAGUUCCUACCUUUCCCCACCCAGUUGGGGCUCUAGGAUGGGGCUGUGCUUUCUGGCAGUGCUGAUGCUUCUUAAGAAUCAUUUGUGCUAUAUUUUCAGCUAAAGUUCUUGUUUUAUCAUGGGGUCCAGUGCAUCCUUAUUCCCUAAAUGAAGGUGACAUUGUUGCCCAUCUUGGUGAGGAGAAAGGGAUUAGUGAUGCUUGGGGCCUCUGCUCCGACAGACAUAGAAUAGCAGGAGCAUCCAAAAUGGUGGAUUAGUUUUCAAUGUGUACCUCUGUCCUUGCUUCACACUAGUGUGCACAUAUUUUUGCUCUAAUAAGUGGUAAAAAGCGGUUUGUAGCUUCUUCGGCAGAGAAAUGAGUUCUUUCAAGCAAUUUGACUUGCCAGAUUGUGCCUUUUGAGGCAAGAUAGGUAACAUUUGCUUAUGUUUGUGGGAUUCAUCAGGGAAAAUAUGGGGGAUAUUGUAUCCUUCCCCCACCCCCUCUUGUGUGAGAAAGGCUGGGCUGCUGAUUUUGAGCGACAAAGGAUUAAAUAGCCUAUUCCACUCUGUGCAACCUGAAACCACCCAACUAUUUUCCCCCUUCUUUUUAAAAUGCAAACAUGGGAUUAGCCGUAUCCUGCUCUUCAGAAAUAGCCACAAAAUGGUAAAAUCAUGCAAUAAAAGCAUUGCUUCCUUCCCAGAAAUGAGAUAAGAUAUGCUUUGCAUUGCAGAAGCUUAGCAUAAUCUGUUACAUUCUUAAGAUUUAAUAACUGAGCUGUACUUACCGUCAGUGUUCUCAAGUCCCAAAUGCCAGUAAUAAGCACAGCCUUACUUGAAUUGUUCUGCUGUUUUCUAUUGUAAAUAAUGUAAAAAAUGUUUCCCUAUGAUCAACCUUUCACUUUGAAAGAAAAUAAGCUAUUUUUCUUCCUCAUUUGCUUCUGGUACAUACGAUUGCCGUUUGAUCACUUUUAUAUUGUUGCAGCGAGGAGUUUCAGUUGCUCAGCAAAGGAACAUGGUUGUACUGUCAGUUUCAAGUGCUAAGAUACCUAGCUGUAAACAUGAGCCUUACCUUUAUUUUUUGAAUGAGUGGCCAGUUCAGCUCUUGCGCCUGAUUACAAUUGUCAUUAAUGUAUGCAGUGAGAUCAAUGUACAUAGUAUGCUUACGUAGUAAAAUAAGGAACAACAAAAGUAUAGGUGUCUGCUUUAAAGAUUUUACAAUCUCAAACAUGACAGUACAAGGGAUGACAGGAAAGAAAAGAAAGAGGCAUGCAUGAAAGAGCCAAAUGUGCGGGGAAUGACUGGCUGGCAAAUGUACAACAAACCUUUCCACAAAAUCAGCAAAGGUUCUUAUUUUUAAGGGGGGAAAGGGGGGAAUAUGAUAUAAUAAGCUGCAUUUUUUUACCCACCUUCCUUGGAGGUAAGGCACACUGAACUCAUUGAGACUUACUUUUUAAUUAGAUUUGUAUAGGAUCAUGCUGUAAUAAUGCUCAAUGUUUGCACAGCAGUUUCAAGUGUUUUAACACUUAGAAUCAUAGAAUCAUAGAGUUGGAAGAGACCACAAGGGCCAUCGAGUCCAACCCCCUGCCAAGCAGGAAACACCAUCAGAGCACUCCUGACAUAUGGUUGUCAAGCCUCUGCUUAAAGACCUCCAAAGAAGGAGACUCCACCACACUCCUUGGCAGCAAAUUCCACUGUCAAACAGCUCUUACUGUCAGGAAGUUCUUCCUAAUGUUUAGGUGGAAUCUUCUUUCUUGUAGUUUGGAUCCAUUGCUCCGUGUCCGCUUCUCUGGAGCAGCAGAAAACAACCUUUCUCCCUCCUCUAUGUGACAUCCUUUUAUAUAUUUGAACAUGGCUAUCAUAUCACCCCUUAACCUCCUCUUCUCCAGGCUAAACAUGCCCAGCUCUCUUAGCCGUUCCUCAUAAGGCAUCGUUUCCAGGCCUUUGACCAUUUUGGUUGCCCUCCUCUGGACACGUUCCAGUUUGUCAAUGUCCUUCUUGAACUGUGGUGCCCAGAACUGGACACAGUACUCCAGGUGAGGUCUGACCAGAGCAGAAUACAGUGGCACUAUUACUUCCCUUGAUCUAGAUGCUAUACUCCUAUUGAUGCAGCCCAGAAUUGCAUUGGCUUUUUAGCUGCCGUGUCACACUGUUGGCUCAUGUCAAGUUUGUGGUCAACCAAGACUCCUAGAUCCUUUUCACAUGUACUGCUCUCAAGCCAGGUGUCCCCCAUCUUGUAUUUGUGCCUCUCAUUUUUUUGCCCAAGUGCAAUACUUUACAUUUCUCCCUGUUAAAAUUCAUCUUGUUUGUUUUGGCCCAGUUCUCUAAUCUGUCAAGGUCGUUUUGAAGUGUGAUCCUGUCCUCUGGGGUGUUAGCCACCCCUCCCAAUUUGGUGUCAUCUGCAAAUUUGAUCAGGAUGCCCUUGAGUCCAUCAUCCAAGUCGUUGAUAAAGAUGUUGAAUAAGACCGGGCCCAAGACAGAACCCUGUGGCACCCCACUAGUCACUCUUCUCCAGGAUGAAGAGGAACCAUUGAUGAGCACCCUUUGGGUUUGGUCAGUCAGCCAGUUACAAAUCCACUGAGUGGUAGCAUAGUCAAGACCACAUUUUACCAGCUUCUUUACAAGAAUAUCAUGAGGCACCUUGUCAAAUGCCUUGCUGAAAUCAAGGUAGGCUACAUCCACUGCGUUCCCUUCAUCUACCAGGCUUGUAAUUCUGUCAAAAACGAGAUCAGGUUAGUCUGACAUGACUUAUUUUUCAGAAAUCCAUGCUGACUAUUGGUGAUCACAGCAUUCCUUUCUAGGUGCUCACAGACUGUUUGCUUAAUGAUCUGCUCCAGAAUCUUCCCUGGUAUUGAUGUCAGACUGACUGGGCGGUAAUUAUUUGGGUCCUCUCUUUUCCCCUUUUUGAAAAUAGGGACAACAUUUGCCCUCCUCCAGUCUGCCGGGACUUCGCCUGUUCUCCAGGAAUUCUCAAAGAUGACUGCCAGUGGUUCUGAGAUCACAUCUGCCAGUUCUUUUAAUACUCUUGGAUGCAGUUCAUCUGGCCCUGGAGACUUGAAUACAUCUAAACUAGCCAAGUAUUCUUGUACUAUCUCCUUAGUUAUUCUGGGCUGUGUUUCCUUUGCUGAAUCAUUUGCUCCAAAUUCUUCAGGUCGGGCAUUGUUUUCUUUAUCGGAGAAGACUGAGGCAAAGAAGGCAUUGAGGAGUUCAGCUCUUUCUGUGUCCCCUGUUUGCAUUUCACCAUCUUCUCCUCUGAGUGACCCCACUGUUUCUUUGUUCUUCCUUUUGCUACGGACAUACCCAAAAAAGGCUUUUUGUUGCUUUUAACCUCUCUAGCAAGCCUGAGUUCAUUCUGUGCUUUAGCUUUUCUGACUUUGUGUCUACACGUGCUGGCUAUUUGUUUGAAUUCCUCUUUGGUGGUUUCCCACCUUUUCCAUUUUUUGUACACAUCCUUUUUUAAUCUUAACUCAGUUAAAAGUUCUUUAGAUAGCCACCCUGGCUUCUUUAGGCACCUUCCAUGUUUCCGUCUCAUUGGUAUUGCCUGACGUUGUGCUUUUAGUAUCUCCCUCUUAACAAACUCCCAGCCAUCAUGAACUCCCUUUCCUUUUAGUAUUACUGUCCAUGGGAUCUCACCCAGCACUUCCCUAAGUUUUAUGAAGUCAGCUUUCUUAAAGUCAAGAAAUUGAGUCCUAGUAUGCUUGGCUGCUCCUUUCCGCUGUAUAGUAAACUUCAGAAGAGCAUGAUCACUCGCGCCUAAUGAUCCUUCCACUUCUACCCCACUAACCAGGUCAUCAACAUUGGUUAGGACCAGAUCUAAAAUGGCUGUUCCUCUUGUUGCUUCUCCCACUUUCUGGACAAUGAAGUUGUCUGCAAGGCCAGUGAGGAAUCUGUUUGACCUUAUGCUCUUGGCUGAGUUUGACAUCCAACAAAUAUCCGGGUAAUUGAAGUCCCCCAUUACUACUAUCUCCCUUCCUUUUGCAUGCUUGGCCAUCUGUUCCAGGAAGGCAUCAUCUAUGUCCUCCGUUUGGCUUGGGGAUCUAUAGUAAACUCCCACAAUGAGGUCACUGUUAUUCUUCUCUCCUUAAUUUUGACCCAAAUGCUCUCACUUUGGCUUUGAGGUUCUAAAUCUUGGAUCUCUUCACAGGUAUACACAUCCCUGACAUAUAACGCCACUCCUCCUCCUUUCUUGUCUGGUCUGUUUCUCUGAAAUAGAUUGUAUCCCCCAUUAUUACAUUCCAAUCGUGGGACUUAUCCCACCAGGUUUCAGUGAUGCCUAUUAUGUCAUAUUUAGUUUGCUGUACCAAGAGCUCAAGCUCAUCUUGUUUAUUUCCCAUGCUUUGCGCAUUAGUGUACAGACAUUGAAGUCCAUUAAUCAUCCCCCCGUGUCUCUUAUUUAAGGAUUUUUUCCUCCCACCACUAGGUCUGCGUGCUGUAUGCUCCAUUUGGUCUAUGACAUUUGGAUGAUCAUCUUCAUCAAUUGAUAGACUCCUACCUUCAGGAGCACUAUCUCCCUCCCCCACAUUAGUCAGUUUAAAGCCCUCCUGAUGAGGUUUCUGAGAUUUUUGGCAAAAACAUUUCUCCCAACCGUUGUGAGGUGCAGCCCAUCGCUUGCCAGAAGUCCAUCUUCAAGAAACUGCAGUCCGUGAUCUAAGAAUCCAAACCGUUCCUGUUUACACCAUUUGCGAAGCCAGCUGUUCACUUCCACUAUUUUCCCCUCUCUCCCUGGGCCACGUCGUUCAACUGGGAGGACAGAUGAGAUGACAAUUUGUGCAUUUAAUUGCUUCAAUUUCCUGCCCAGAGCCUCGUAGUCUCUUUUGAUCUUCUGGAGGCUAUUGCUUGCAGUGUCAUUGGUUCCCACAUGAACCAAGAGGAAGGGGUAUUUGUCAGUGGGUUUUAUGAUUCCUUGCAGUCGUUCAGUUACAUCUUGGAUCUUAGCCCCGGGAGACAGCACACUUCCCGAGACAUCUUGUCAGGCCCACAGAUCACUGCUUCUGUUCCCCUCAGUAGGGAAUCCCCUAUCACCACUACACGCCUCCUCUUAGGUUUGGCCGGGGUUCUUCCGUGAGCUGUCCGCUCCAAGGUCGCCUGCACAUUCCCUGAGGACUGACUUUGCUGCUCGUCUUCAUAUACCUGAUCGACUGUAAUGAGGGAGAGAUCCUCAAAUGGAGUCUGCUCUUCGUCUUCCAUGCUAGGGGAGAGGACCUCAAAGCGAUUGUGUAUUUCUAAACAAUCAGAGCGAACCCUGGGCCUCCUACUUCUUUGAGUCACGUUUCUCCAUAUAUCUGGCUCCUGUGUUGGUGAACUAGCGUCCUUCUCAGGGGAGUCCCCUGUCUCCUCCUUGGUGGAGACGGUGUGCUCUGUUGCUUCCAAGAAGAGCUCCAGCUCUCUAAUUCUUUGGAGCGUAGCUACACGUUCCUCCAGUUGCUGGACUUUGUCUUUUAAGAGGGCAAUCAACAUGCAAUUGCUGCAGGUAAAGCUGCCUGCAACCUUUGGCAAGAUGGCAAGCAUUGCGCAGGAACCGCAGGCGACUGCAGCUGUUCCCUCCCCCUCCAUCUUGAGAACGUGUCGUUGGGGGUGGCUACAGUGGUCCUCCAUCAUAAAAAGCGUGAAGACAGGACAAAUAACUCCCCCCCAAAAAACCUAGGUCUUCCCCAACAAACGUUUGAGACUAGCUCCCCUAAAUCUAAAAGAUGGAUCAAACUGCGCGCGCCGCUAGGCGCGCGCCGCUGCCCUGCAAUCUCUGAUAAGCUCCUCCCACAGCUAAUCACCUGCCUCAACAGAAACCCUGCCCCCUCUGACCUUUGCACAGGGAGAGCAGCCAAUCAGCCACAAAGAAACACACACACACAAGAAAACCCUUUUUGCUCCUUCUUCAACUGCUGCCCUGCAAUCUCUGAUAAGCUCCUCCCACAGCUAAUCACCUGCCUCAACAGAAACCCUGCCCCCUCUGACCUUUGCACAGGGAGAGCAGCCAAUCAGCCACAAAGAAACACACACACACAAGAAAACCCUUUUGCUCCUUCUUCAACUGCUGCCCUGCAAGCUCUGAUAAGCUCCUCCCACAGCUAAUCACCUGCCUCAACAGAAACCCUGCCCCCUCUGACCUUUGCACAGGGAGAGCAGCCAAUCAGCCACAAAGAAACACACACACACAAGAAAACCCUUUUUGCUCCUUCUUCAACUGCUGCCCUGCAAGCUCUGAUAAGCUCCUCCCACAGCUAAUCACCUGCCUCAACAGAAACCCUGCCCCUUCUGACCUUUGCACAGGGAGAGCAGCCAAUCAGCCACAAAGAAACACACACACACAAGAAAACCCUUUUGCUCCUUCUUCAACUGCUGCCCUGCAAUCUCUGAUAAGCUCCUCCCACAGCUAAUCACCUGCCUCAACAGAAACCCUGCCCCCUCUGACCUUUGCACAGGGAGAGCAGCCAAUCAGCCACAAAGAAACACACACACACAAGAAAACCCUUUUGCUCCUUCUUCAACUGCUGCCCUGCAAUCUCUGAUAAGCUCCUCCCACAGCUAAUCACCUGCCUCAACAGAAACCCUGCCCCCUCUGACCUUUGCACAGGGAGAGCAGCCAAUCAGCCACAAAGAAACACACACACACAAGAAAACCCUUUUUGCUCCUUCUUCAACUGCUGCCCUGCAAGCUCUGAUAAGCUCCUCCCACAGCUAAUCACCUGCCUCAACAGAAACCCUGCCCCCUCUGACCUUUGCACAGGGAGAGCAGCCAAUCAGCCACAAAGAAACACACACACACAAGAAAACCCUUUUUGCUCCUUCUUCAACUGCUGCCCUGCAAUCUCUGAUAAGCUCCUCCCACAGCUAAUCACCUGCCUCAACAGAAACCCUGCCCCUCUGACCUUUGCACAGGGAGAGCAGCCAAUCAGCCACAAAGAAACACACACACACAAGAAAACCCUUUUUGCUCCUUCUUCAACUGCUGCCCUGCAAGCUCUGAUAAGCUCCUCCCACAGCUAAUCACCUGCCUCAACAGAAACCCUGCCCCUCUGACCUUUACACAGGGAGAGCAGCCAAUCAGCCACAAAGAAACACACACACACAAGAAAACCCUUUUGCUCCUCCUUCAGCCGCUGCCCUGCAAUCUCUGAUAAGCUCCUCCCACAGCUCAACACCUCCCUAAACAGAAACCCUGCCCCUCUGACCUUUGCACAGGAGAGCAGCCAAUCAGCCACAAAGAAACACACACACACAAGAAAACCCUUUUGCUCCUUCUUCAACUGCUGCCCUGCAAUCUCUGAUAAGCUCCUCCCACAGCUAAUCACCUGCCUCAACAGAAACCCUGCCCCUCUGACCUUUGCACAGGGAGAGCAGCCAAUCAGCCACAAAGAAACACACACACACAAGAAAACCCUUUUGCUCCUUCUUCAACUGCUGCCCUGCAAGCUCUGAUAAGCUCCUCCCACAGCUAAUCACCUGCCUCAACAGAAACCCUGCCCCCUCUGACCUUUGCACAGGGAGAGCAGCCAAUCAGCCACAAAGAAACACACACACACAAGAAAACCCUUUUUGCUCCUUCUUCAACUGCUGCCCUGCAAUCUCUGAUAAGCUCAACUUCAUGUUCAUGUCCUACAGCGUUUGUAAUCCUCGCAACAGCCUGAACAGCAAUACUUCUCAAACUCUGUGGUGGACCAGCAAUUCCCCACCCCACCUAUGUGCCAGGGACUGGUGCCAUACUUUGUCCUUGAAGUGCCACACCCAACAUGGGCUGCAGUGAAGUUGGUGUGGACCAGAAGCCAAUGGCCUAUGGACUGCACUUGUCAGUGGACCACUACUUUGAGUAGCACUGCUGUAAGUUGUCUUUAUUCUUCCACAUUGCAGAGGGAAGAACAAGAGAGUGGCUUGCCUGAAACCACCUAGUGAGUUCAUGACAGUGACUUUGUUGCCACUGUGCUACACCAGAGUAGCCAGGUUUUGCAAGGGAAGAAUGCACUUUUCCCGUCACUUCCAAAGAAGCAAUGAACAGUGUAUGUAGCAAAUGGGUGUGUGUACUUGCUUUCUUUUACUUAAAGGAAAUUCUUUUAAUAAUGCAGGAAGAAUGACAAUGUAAAAGAUUUAUUCAAAGUUGGUAAUUGAAGAGCAUCUGAACAAGCUGGAGAAAAAUGGCAGAAACAGAAGUGUAACAAGGAGACGAGGCUUAGUAUAUGAGCCAAAGCAGCCACAGGAUGGCAGUAUAAUAAAGAUACAG